CGUGCCUGGACUAGAUGGCCUUUGGAGGUCCCUUCCAAGGAUGCUCUGCUUCCGGGAUGCUCAUGCCUUCUCCUUCCUCCUUCUCCUGCUGCAGGCGAGUGCGUGGAGGGCCUGGGCGACCACAGCCUGGAGGACGACGUGGUGGGACCCAAGAUGGGCCUCCAGUUCCCAGAAUUUCUAUUCCACCCUUCUUUCUCAGCCCGAAGAGGACUCAGGGCGGAUCACAACGCAAACAUUCAAUGCAGUUUUUGGACAUACAACACUUACAGACAGAUGUAAUUCAACAUUCUUCCAACUUUGGCUUCAGGUUAUGAUUGAUUCCGGCCACAGGGGGAGCUGCUGCUUCAUCUGCUCUGACGCCGAGUCCGUUUUGAUCAUAGUAUCUCCUCCUUGCUCCUUGAUCGCCGGCAGUUUUAUGGUGUCAUAAAUUAAAUUAACCUCUAAUUUCAAAUUUCUCUACUCAAAGUGGCAGCUGUUUUUGAACUGCCUAGUAGACAGUAAGCUAGGCUAUUGACAGUCAGAUGCACAAUCUGACUCAGGCUACGAACUUGCCAUCAUCCAGUGAUCUAUUGUUGCUGGCGGUUAGCCAGCUGCGCUACAGCCCAGAUCUUGCAACAAAGGGAGGGAUGUGUGGCCAAAGGCUUUCACCCAAUGCAGGACCCCGACAGAGCUCUCCAUACAGGCAAAUGGGUGCUGGUCAAGUCACCCCUCUCCUGGGCUCUUGGUGAGGCUCCCUUCUCCUGCACAGUGUGGAAGGGGCUGCCUUCAAUGGGGGGAGUGUUCCUGGUCUGGCAGGGACUUGAACCCUGGUCCCCCAGAGCCCUAGGUCUCCCAUCAUCCCAGUCCAACACUCCACCAAGCCUUCUUUGCAAGAGUCCCUGCAAUGGAGAACGGAUGCCGCUUGAUGCCAUGCUAAUGGACAUUACAUUACGCCUUGCUGUGGAACCCUGGGAGUUGCAGUUUGGUGAGAAUCAGCAUUGCUUGGCAGAGAAGGCUUAAAGGGCUGCGGUGGUGCAAUGGGUUAACCCUUGGGCUGCUGAACUGCUGACCUGAAGAUUGGCAGUUGGAAUCAGCGGGACGGAGUGAGCUCCUGCUGACAGUCCUAGCUCAUGUGUGACGCUCCAGUGUGAAGGCUGCUGUGUGUAAAGCUACUGCGUGAAGCUCCUGUGUACGUUCGGUGUGAGAGGAGGCUCUGUGAAAACAAAGCUGAUUAUCUGCAUGAGAAAGAAGCCCAGCAUGGAAGCAAAGACGGAAGUAUAAAGAACUUUAUUGGUGUUAUGGAAGCCUUGUAACCUGUGAGAGACUUCAGUGUGAGAUCUCUGUGGGAGAAUAGUCCUGUUAGUAGGCCUCAGAGUGUGAAGUAGGCCUCGAUGUGAGAAGGCCUCGUGGGUGAAGAUCCAGUGUGAAGGUUGAGAAGCUCCAGGCUGAAGGCCUCGUGUGAGAAGCUCCAGCGUGAAGGCUGCUGUGUGUAAAGCUACUGCAUGAAGCUCCUGUGUAAGUUCGGUGUGAGAGGAGGCUCUGUGAAAACAAAGCUGUUUAUCUGCAUGAGAAAGCCCAGCACAGAAGCAAAGAAGGAAGUAUAAAGAACUUUACUGGUGUUAUGGAAGCCUUGUAACCUCAGUGUGAGAUCUCUGUGAGAAAAUAGGCCUCAGUGUUAGUAGGCCUCAGAGUGUGAGGUAGGCCUCGAUAUGAGGCCGCCUCGUGGGUGAAGCUCCAGUGUGAAGGUUGAGAAGCUCCAGGCUGAAGGUCUCGUGUGAGAAGCUCCAGUGUGAAGGCUGCUGUAUGUAAAGCUACAGCGUGAAGCUCCUGUGUAAGUUCUGUAUGAGAAGAGGCUCUGUGAGAGCGAAGCUGUUUACCUGCAUGAGAAAGAAGCCUAGCGUGGAAGCAAACAAGGAAGUAUAAAGAACUUUAUUGGUGUUAUGGAAGCUUUGUGACCUCAGUGUGAGACCUCAGUGUGAGAUCUCUGUGGGAAAAUAGGCCUCAGUGUUAAUAGGCCUCAGAGUGUGAGGUGGGCCUCGGUAUAAGAAAGCCUCAUGUGUGAAGCUCCAGUGUGAAGGCUGCUGUGUGUAAAACAACUGCGUGAAGCUCCUAUGUAAGUUUGGUGUGAGAGGAGGCUCUGUGAGAGCGAAGCUGUUUAUCUGCAUGAGAAAGAAGCCCAGCACGGAAGCAAAGAAGGAAGUAUAAAGAACCUUAUUGGUGUUAUGGAAGCUUUGUAACCUCAGUGUGAGAUCUCUGUGGGAGAAUAGGCCUCAGAGUGUGAGGUGGGCCUCGGUAUAAGGCAGCCUCAUGUGUGAAGCUCUAGUGUGAAGGCUGCUGUGUGUAAAGCUACUGCAUGAAGCUCCUAUGUUAGUGCGAGAGGAGGCUCUGUGAGAGCGAGGCUGUUUAUCUGCAUGAGAAAGAAGCUCAGAGCGGAAGCAAAGAA